CGAUACGCAAUGCGAAUUGCAGAAUUCCGCGAGUCAUCAGAUCUUUGAACGCAACUUGCGCUGAAGGGAUAUCCCCUUCAGCAUGCUUGUUUCAGUGUCUAGAAACUUCAUUAAUCUUAAUGUGAUUGAGACUUUUUGUUUUACGAUAAAAAUUCUCUCAUGAAAUAUGUGGAUGUGGAUCUUUUGAUCCAACGAAGUAGUCACAUUUUAUAUGUGAUUUCGUUUGGUCUUUCAAAUUAUCCGUGAACAUCUGUGUCAUCAAAAACUAUCUUCAAUAUGCAUCUGUAAUCAAGCAAGAAAACCCGCUGAACUUAA
rnacentral:rRNA from 1 species